AGAGAUAGAAAAAGGGUCUAUGACAGGCUUUCUCGCCCGGCUGCGCGAACGGCUACUCGCCGUGGCCAAACGGGAAGUGCGUUGCAUGGAGCAUGCGCACAAGCCUCGAGAUGGUACCAUAGAGAUAGAAAAAACUCUAUGACAGGCUUUUUCAACCUUGGUGCCUCAAACGGUGUUGGGACUACGCUCCCCAUCAUACUUGAUCCCCUGCUGUAGUCCAGCAGCGUCUGGAGGCCCAAGGUCGGUCUGGAGAAGGCUGACCGAGAAGAACUGUAACGGCCAUUCUGAAAGGAGUUUGAGGCGGCUCCGUCUCGGAGACGAACGGCGACGUCUUUACAUUUUCCUAUCUCUAUGCCGCACUUGGCCUGAGCAGCCUCCUCUCUUUGCUUCUCCUCCGCAGAGAGCGAGCUCUGUAAAUGAGAGAGACUCGAGCCAUCCUGCUAACUUAGGAUACAGUUGUGCUUGAAAGGAUAUGCUCAAAUAAAAAGGCAUAUAAUUCAAGUGUUUGGGCGGGGGGGGGGGAGUCCUCCGUCUUAAUAUGAUCUAUGGCCAAAAUGUAUUGUGAAGAAAGACAUGGCUGCUUAAAUUAAAAAAAAAAUGUAAAGCAUAUUACUCUGGAGUAAACAAACGACUUAAUUCAAAGCAAAGCAGCACUAGCACUUAAUCUUAAAAUUCUAUUUUCAGUGUAGAUGGGGCAACAACUACACCAGGCCACUGAAUUUUGCUGCUUUGUACUUACCUAGAAUGAUUUCAGCUAUGGUGAGAACAUGUACAGUAGAACCUUGGUUCUCGAACGGCUUAGUUGACGAACAAAUCGGAACCUGAAUGCUGCAAACCUGGAAGUAAGUGUUCCGGUUUGUGAACUUUUUUCGGAAGCUGAAUGCUUCCAUUCUGAGAACUUCCGCUGAGGACCCAUGCAACACGCUGGUGAUAUUUGGAGCUUAUAUUUCGCAAUUUUGUUUUUGCGACUUACUUGGCGAUUUUGUUUCUGCAACUUAUUUGGCGGUUUUGUUUCUGCGAGCAUUUUGGUUAAUUUGUUUUUGUGACUCUGUGGAACCCAGUUCAGCUACUGUAUUUUCAGGAGCACUCUUGCAAUUUGAUUGUGUGACUGUGCGAAAAUGGAUAAAAGUUGCAAAGGCAAGAGAACCAUUAACAGAGCAACAAUAGAGGUGAAGAAGAAAAUUAUUUCCAAGCAUGAAAGUGGUAUCCGUGUAAGUGACCUGGCAACGCAGUUUGGUAUGGCCAAAUCUACAAUUUGUACCAUCUUAAAAAAUAAGGAAGCCAUUAAAGGUGCCAAUGUUGCAAAAGGUGUUAAAACACUCACAAGGCAACGAACACAGACAAUUGAAGAAGUGGAAAAACUGCUUUUAGCAUGGAUAAAAGAAAAACAGUUGGCCGGUGACAGCAUUUCUGAGAGCAUGAUUUGUGAAAAAGCUUUACAUUUGCAUGCUGAACUCAUCAGAAACACCCCUGGAGCAAGUGUUGAGGGUGAUAUUUUCAAGGCAAGUAGAGGUUGGUUUGAUAAUUUUAAGAGAAGAAGUGGCAUACACAGUGUGGUGAGACAUGGCGAAGCUGCCAGUGCCAACAAAUUGGAUGCUGACCGAUUUGUUUUGGAUUUUAAAGAUUAUGUUGAGUCACAGGGUUUCAUUCCCCAACAAGUUUUCAACUGUGAUGAGACAGGCCUCUUUCGGAAGAAAAUGCCAAAGAGGACCUACAUAACAAAGGAGGAGAAAUCAUUGCAAGUGAAUAGUGAUGAUGUGGAGGACCACAAGACUGAGCUCACCGCAGAAGAAGAACAGAACAUUCUGACGGAGCAGCAACAGGCGGCAACUGAGGAAAUACCUUCAGAGGAGGAGAGCAGAGGAAUUGUAUCUACUGCACUGAUCAAAGAAAUGUGUGCAAAAUGGGCUGAAGUGCAAAGUUUUGUUGAAAAAUAUCACCCUGAUAAAGCUGCUGUAAGUCAUGCCGCCAACACUUUCAAUGAUAAUGCUAUGUCUCACUUUAGGCAAAUUUUAAAACAUCAGCAAAAGCAAAUCUCAACUGAAAAAAAAAUAGUGAGGAAAAUUAUCAGUGGGUCUGAACCAGGUGUCAGUGGUGUAAGAAAAGCAAGGGAAGGAAUGGCAGGAGAGGAGUCACCGAUUGCAAUUCCAGAAGAGGACCCUGACCCUCCAUCCAAACAAUGACUAUCAUCCAUGAAGCUUUACACAAACCGGUGCCAUGUCUAGCCCUGAACUGGCACUAAGUACUUGAAGGGGUGAAACCGACACCCCAAAGGUGGAGGACUUUGAGGUCUAUGCUGGAUCGCCUGGAAUGAAUGCUGAGGAUCCCCUUGACAGGCUGUCUGGUGAGAAACUGUCUGAAGAACCCUUUGAGCUGUCAGAGGAAGAGACUGAGCCAGCCCUCAGUCCUUGAAUAACUCUGGCACCAAUUGGCCUGGGCACAGACUGAAGAGCAAUGACCUAGCAUGGGUCUACAGACCAAGACGUUGUACAUGAGGACAACUUGCCCAUCGCAGUCGAAAAUGAAACCGUUUCUGAUCAGACCAAACUUGGGGUAAUGGAAGAAGUGGAGCUGGGCUCAGAUGGAGCAAAACUA